rnacentral:ncRNA from 2 species
UGACAGUACUCUGGAGAGACUCAAGUUAUGAGCGCCGAAGGGGCAAAAGCAAUUUUGCUUAAUCUCUCAGGCAAAAGGACAGAGCAGGCUAU